GGCAGUGUGAUGUAGUGGUUUGAGUGCUGGACUAGUACACUGGAAGACCAAGGUUUGAAUCCUUGCUCAGCCG